UACGAAGGGGGCUAGCGUUGCUCGGAAUCACUGGGCGUAAAGCGCACGUAGGCGGAUUGUUAAGUCAGGGGUGAAAUCCUGGAGCUCAACUCCAGAACUGCCUUUGAUACUGGCGAUCUUGAGUCCGGGAGAGGUGAGUGGAAUUCCUAGUGUAGAGGUGAAAUUCGUAGAUAUUAGGAAGAACGCCAGUGGCGAAGGCGGCUCACUGGCCCGGUACUGACGCUGAGGCGCGAAAGCGUGGGGAGCAAACAGG
rnacentral:rRNA from 1 species